rnacentral:lncRNA from 1 species
AGGAUCCCCGCGGGCCGACCCAGGCAGCUCGGGAGCCGAGGCCGCCGGACGGGGAACACAAGCCUGACUGCGGGGUGGAGGCGCGAGGCCAGCCCGGGAUUGCGCCCUCUCCAGCGCGGUGAUUGCUGCGCGCCGGGGCGCACGAGCUGCGGUGAGGCACAUCUCCUGCAGAUCCAGUACGCGAUUGAAUCAGGCCAUCCUGUGAGGGAUGGGCGCGAAUUCCGGCUCCCGGUGGCUCGGUGGUGACCCGACGGCGAACGCCGGCCGGGCUUGGCCUGAGGUGAGCUCCGUUGUUCUGGUCCCUCCAGCGGCGGGCAGCCGUUUCCCGCUUCGCACGCACGGAGAGAAGAUUCCCGGCUCGGGAGAAACCGCUGCUGGCAACGGGAGGCCCCGGAACGCGAGCGCCCCUGUUCUCGGUUGGUAUACACGUGUAUUCCCCAGAGGUACCGGCUUGGUGCUCUGUGCCUGGGAGUGAGAGGAGAAGAGAAUGGGGGUGCCCAUCGCAAGGUCAGACGGCAGGGUAUGUCUGUGCUGAGUCUCUGGAGCCAGAUUUCUGCUGCGUGGUCUCACAGUGGCGGGUAAACCCAAGCCUCUUCCGGUCCCUAGGAAAGCGAUGCAGGCUGGAUGUCAAGGAUUCCUUUGACCAAGCUUUGCUGACCUCUAGGCCCAGCCAGGGUUUGCAGGAUCCACAGCCAUUGUUUCUUCCAAGCCCCCCAUACUGGGAGAAGCCAGCUUUGGCCUGACUUCCACCACCACCAUUUCUGCCCCACAGAAGGUUCCUAGUCAGGAAAACCUACAACCACAGGACACACCUGUGUGUUCCACAGCUCUGCCUUCUUCCACACCCAGCAGAAGAUUCCCUUCCUGGGAGGAAACCAGUAGGUGACACAAACACUUAUGCACCUUCUCCCUAAUUUCUGGGGAGAAUUGAGCCCUUGGUCUGGUUACCUGUAAUGUUUAUAAACCAAAUAAAAUGUUUCUCAGAGUUC